UGCACCUUUCUCUGACCGGAAGUACACUUUCCUCUGCUUUUAAGAAAACCUACCUAAUAAGAAGUUUAAAGCCCACUGCUGCAUGCUCCUCUCUCUCACCCCCUGAGCUUCCUGUUAUCAGAGCUAUCCAAGAGCAGCUGCAGCUUGCCAAGAAGCUCAGGCUUUUGGACAGACGCAGCAACUGACGCUGGUACAGACGUACAGACCUGACGGACAGAGUCCAGCUGGCGAGUCAUGGCAGCAGCAAGCGGAACAGAUGUGUGAGGGACUUUGAUCUAGAUCAAAGUGGUGAAGUUCUCCUGCAUGUGGAUCAUCAACAGCUUCAGCUUCUGUCGGAGGAGAAUGGAGAGGUCAUCAAAAGCUUCGUGUUCUCCUGACGAGAUGACGACAAACUCAAGAAGGCGGAGAGCAUGGAGAGUCGUCCUAGAAGAAUCGGUGCUCAACUUUCUACUGGACAGACAAACCAAACCCCAAACUGUUACUCCUCUGUGAGUGUCUACUCUACUUGGUCCACAUGACGUCCCUUCUCCUCGUUAUUCCCCCUCUUGGUCGUUCCCGUGACAACUCUCUGGGCCGUUAAUCGCCGUGGAGACGGACAGAGAGGGAUCAAACGAGGGAGGGAGAGCAUCUCAAAUUGGCUCCACAUUGCCCAUGUG